CUUGGACUCAUCAUCGUCACUACUCCCACCACUGAUCUGGAAUGUGUGGCCUCCCUCCCCCACCGUCACCGCCUCCAAGGGGCCUCCUCCACUCCACCUGCGGCUUCUUCCCAUGAGCUGCACAGCUGUUCUCACCCCCAUCGGAGGCGCCCUCCUAACCCCGCGGUGGAGGAGAGCACAGGGAGGCUCAGGAGAAACUGGAAGCCUUGCUAGUUCCCGGGGGUGGGGCAGACAUCCCUCAGCAGGCCAGACACCUGCUGCAAUGUGAGCAAUUCUGUAUCCACCCAACGAACAUCGCUGCCUACCUGCCUGCCAGGCACUAUGCCAGACGCCAUGGCCUUGUCACCUAAAGCAGGGGUUCUGCCCUCAGAGGAAUGCUCGUGCAAGCGGGUACAUCCGUGGCUUCACUACAAUCUGAUGGGCCCAUGUCAGCUGCAAUGGCCCCAAGUACAGGAGCUUUAG
rnacentral:lncRNA from 1 species